UUGGGGAACAACCUGUUGCCUUCCUGGCAUUUGUCUCUGAGAAUUGGCAAAAAUAUUGGAGGGCACCCCUUGUCCCAUUGAAUUCCCUGCUGUGCUCUGUGGAACUCCAGAAAUAUUCUGAAUGUUAGGAUUCUGACCAACAACACUGGGGAUAGAAUUCUGUGUUAAACCAGAAACGGGGGGUAGUGCAGAUGUUAAACUGGCAGAACUUUGAAACCCAGUAGAUGUCAUAUUAUUCUGAAUGGUCUGGGAUAACAAUUGCUGACGCGUUUGAGACUGGUUCGCUUGCAUUGGGAUAGGAAGUGACUGCCCUUGAUUUUGAACUUGGGGCUGCAUACUAUGAGAUGCUCCUGGAUCAGAAGGUCUGUUGUUAUUGCCAGGUGGGUUGGGAGGCAAAGGAUUAGGCCCUGGCUUUUGGGACUUGGACUCUAGUGUAAGCAUCUUCAAAGAUAUUUU
rnacentral:misc_RNA from 1 species